UCCCUGGUAGCUCAGGAGGUUAAGGAUCUGGCGUUGUCACUGCCAUUGUUCAGGUUCGAUUCCUGGCCCGGGAA
rnacentral:tRNA from 1 species